rnacentral:piRNA from 1 species
UGGUCUGAUGGCUCUCUUAACAUUCGGUGU